UACGGAGGUCUCAAGCGUUGUUCGGAUUCAUUGGGCGUAAAGGGUGUGUAGGUGGCGCGCUAAGUCGGGUGUGAAAUUUCGGAGCUUAACUCCGAAACUGCAUUCGAUACUGGCGUGCUUGAGGACUGGAGAGGAGACUGGAAUUCAUGGUGUAGCAGUGAAAUGCGUAGAGAUCAUGAGGAAGACCAGUGGCGAAGGCGGGUCUCUGGACAGUUCCUGACACUGAGACACGAAGGCCAGGGGAGCAAACGGG
rnacentral:rRNA from 1 species